GAUCAUGGCUCAGGAUGAACGCUGGCGGCGUGCCUAAUACAUGCAAGUCGAACGAGGUGCUUUUGUAGCAAUACGAGAGUAUCCUAGUGGCGAACGGGUGAGUAACGCGUUGGUGACCUACCCCAAAGUGUGGGAUAACAGUCCGAAAGGAUUGCUAAUACCGCAUGUGGUCUUCGGAUUUAGAAACUGAUGACUAAAGGAGCAAUUCGCUUUGGGAGGGACCUGCGUCCCAUCAGCUAGUUGGUGAGGUAAUGGCUCACCAAGGCUACGACGGGUAGGGGACCUGAGAGGGUGACCCCCCACAAUGGAACUGAAACACGGUCCAUACACCUACGGGUGGCAGCAGUAGGGAAUAUUGCACAAUGGGCGAAAGCCUGAUGCAGCAACGCCGCGUGUGCGAUGAAGGCCUUCGGGUCGUAAAGCACUUUUCUGGGAGAUGAGCAAGGACAAUAUCUCAGGAAUAAGUCUCGGCUAACUACGUG
rnacentral:rRNA from 1 species